rnacentral:misc_RNA from 1 species
GGAUAGCUAUUGGAGGAGUGGCAAUUCUGUUAGUUUUGAGUUUGUUGUGCCUUUGUUGCAGGAAGAAGAGGAGGAGACGUGAUGAUGAGACUACGUACUAUGUUCCUCCACCUCCUCCUGGGCCGAAAGAUGGCCCCUAUGGUGGCCAACAGCAGCAUUGGCAACAAAAUGCACCCCCACCACCUGAUCAAGUUUUCACAGCAAUGCCAAAACCUAAUCCUCCUCCACCAGUUGCAUCAAGGCCCCCACAUCCUCC